AUUGAACGCUGGCGGCAUGCCUUACACAUGCAAGUCGAACGGCAGCACAGGGAGCUUGCUCCUGGGUGGCGAGUGGCGAACGGGUGAGUAAUGUAUCGGAACGUGCCCAGUAGUGGGGGAUAACUACUCGAAAGAGUGGCUAAUACCGCAUGAGAUCUCUGGAUGAAAGUGGGGGACCGCAAGGCCUCACGCUACUGGAGCGGCCGAUAUCAGAUUAGGUUGUUGGUGGGGUAAGGGCCUACCAAGCCUGCGAUCUGUAGCUGGUCUGAGAGGACGACCAGCCACACUGGGACUGAGACACGGCCCAGACUCCUACGGGAGGCAGCAGUGGGGAAUUUUGGACAAUGGGCGCAAGCCUGAUCCAGCAAUGCCGCGUGCAGGAUGAAGGCCUUCGGGUUGUAAACUGCUUUUGUACGGAACGAAAAGGCUCUGGUUAAUACCUGGGGUCCAUGACGGUACCGUAAGAAUAAGCACCGGCUAACUACGUGCCAGCCGCCGCCGUAA
rnacentral:rRNA from 1 species